AGAGUUGAUCCUGGCUCAGGAUGAACGCUAGCUACAGGCUAACACAUGCAAGUCGAGGGGCAGCAUUGGAGUAGCAAUACUCAGAUGGCGACCGGCGCACGGGUGAGUAACACGUAUCCAACCUGCCGCUUACUCGGGGAUAGCCUUUCGAAAGAAAGAUUAAUACCCGAUGGUAUAAAGAGUUCGCAUGUUCUCUUUAUUAAAGAAUUUCGGUAAGCGAUGGGGAUGCGUUCCAUUAGAUUGUUGGCGGGGUAACGGCCCACCAAGUCUACGAUGGAUAGGGGUUCUGAGAGGAAGGUCCCCCACAUUGGAACUGAGACACGGUCCAAACUCCUACGGGAGGCAGCAGUGAGGAAUAUUGGUCAAUGGACGAGAGUCUGAACCAGCCAAGUAGCGUGAAGGAUGACUGCCCUAUGGGUUGUAAACUUCUUUUAUAAGGGAAUAAAGUGAGGGACGUGUCCCUUUUUGUAUGUACCUUAUGAAUAAGGAUCGGCUAACUCCGUGCCAGCAGCUGC
rnacentral:rRNA from 1 species